UAACUUUUUUUUUUUUGCAAAUGCGUAAUUGACUUCUGUGGCAACUUUAGGCAAUAUCGAUAAGUUUUGCUCAUCCUUGUGUGUGUAUGAAAAAUAAAACGUGAUUAAAACCGUCAGGAAGUGCGAAAUAAGUAUAAAGGCAGUGUUAAAAUUAAUAUUUUAUAAAAAAUUAUACUGACGGUACAAGGAAAUACAAAAUGCCACGCGGCAAACCAUUAACCCUUGAGGAAAGGGGAAAAUUGAAACGUAUCAUGAAGAAAGACGGUCGAAUCGCGAUAUUGCGAGGCGGUUAAACAGAUCUAGCUGUGUCAUCGACAACUUCAUAAAAAUGGGUCAUCUAUAUGGGAAAAAAAGUGACCAGGACGGACAUCAAGGAUCGACAACAGGACGAAAAGGGAGAUUUCCAGGCUUGCAGUGAAGGAAAACUUAAGCGCAAAAGAGAUAUUUGGAGACACGUGUGGAGAAUUUAUCUACUGCUGUUAGAACUAUUUUUUUUUCCGUACUGUAAAUAUCUGUGUAUAUGCACAAUUUUUCCAGGGUAUUGAGGUAUUGGGGUUUCUAAUAGUUGCGGUUUAUUACGGUUGCGAUCAUACUUGUUUUCCUUGCAGACUCUACACUGUUUAAUUAUAUUUUCUAUUUUUGCUUUCAUCUUUGGGAAGUAACAUCUUUGUA